rnacentral:sRNA from 1 species
UCCGUAGGUGAACCUGCGGAAGGAUCAUUACCUAGAGUUGUAGGCUUUGCCUACCAUCUCUUACCCAUGUCUUUUGAGUACUUACGUUUCCUCGGUGGGUUCGCCCGCCGAUUGGACAAUUUAAACCAUUUGCAGUUGCAAUCAGCGUCUGAAAAACAUAAUAGUUACAACUUUCAACAACGGAUCUCUUGGUUCUGGCAUCGAUGAAGAACGCAGCGAAAUGCGAUAAGUAGUGUGAAUUGCAGAAUUCAGUGAAUCAUCGAAUCUUUGAACGCACAUUGCGCCCCUUGGUAUUCCAUGGGGCAUGCCUGUUCGAGCGUCAUUUGUACCUUCAAGCUUUGCUUGGUGUUGGGUGUUUGUCUCGCCUUUGCGUGUAGACUCGCCUUAAAACAAUUGGCAGCCGGCGUAUUGAUUUCGGAGCGCAGUACAUCUCGCGCUUUGCACUCAUAACGACGACGUCCAAAAGUACAUUUUUACACUCUUGACCUCGGAUCAGGUAGGGAUACCCGCUGAACUUAAGCAUAUCAAUAAGCGGAGGA